UACGUAAGGACCGAGCGUUGUCCGGAAUCAUUGGGCGUAAAGGGUACGUAGGUGGUUAGAAAAGUUAGAAGUGAAAGGCUAUAGCUCAACUAUAGUAAGCUUUUAAAACUGUUUAACUUGAGAGAUGGAAGGGAAAGUGGAAUUCCUAGUGUAGCGGUGAAAUGCGCAGAUAUUAGGAGGAAUACCGGUGGCGAAGGCAGCUCACUGGGGUAUAACUGACGCUGAUGCACGAAGGUGUGGGUAUCAAACAGG
rnacentral:rRNA from 1 species